rnacentral:rRNA from 1 species
CUUCCUACGGGAGGCAGCAGUAGGGAAUCUUCCACAAUGGACGAAAGUCUGAUGGAGCAACGCCGCGUGGGUGAAGAAGGGUUUCGGCUCGUAAAGCUCUGUUGGUAGUGAAGAAAGAUAGAGGUAGUAACUGGCCUUUAUUUGACGGUAAUUACUUAGAAAGUCACGGCUAACUACGUGCCAGCAGCCGCGGGAAUACGUAGGGGGCGAGCGUUGUCCGGAAUUACUGGG